rnacentral:RNase_P_RNA from 1 species
CCAGACGGUCGGACGGUCGCGGGCGGUGUUAAGCCGCGCGAGGAAAGUCCGGGCUCCAUGGAGACAAGGCGCCGGGUAACGCCCGGCCAGAGGCCUCAGCAAUGGGGGUUUUGAGGGAAAGCGCCACAGAGAAUAUACCGCCUCGCCAUAUUUGUUUAUGUGGGGAGGUAAGGGUGAAAAGGUGCGGUAAGAGCGCACCG